GAUGAACGCUGGCGGCGUGCCUAAUACAUGCAAGUCGAGCGAACAGACGAGGAGCUUGCUCCUCUGACGUUAGCGGCGGACGGGUGAGUAACACGUGGAUAACCUACCUAUAAGACUGGGAUAACUUCGGGAAACCGGAUCUAAUACCGGAUAACAUGUUGAACCGCAUGGUUCAACAGUGAAAGACGGUCUUGCUGUCACUUAUAGAUGGAUCCGCGCCGCAUUAGCUAGUUGGUAAGGUAACGGCUUACCAAGGCAACGAUGCGUAGCCGACCUGAGAGGGUGAUCGGCCACACUGGAACUGAGACACGGUCCAGACUCCUACGGGAGGCAGCAGUAGGGAAUCUUCCGCAAUGGGCGAAAGCCUGACGGAGCAACGCCGCGUGAGUGAAGAAGGUCUUCGGAUCGUAAAACUCUGUUAUUAGGGAAGAACAAAUGUGUAAGUAACUAUGCACGUCUUGACGGUACCUAAUCAGAAAGCCACGGCUAACUACGUG
rnacentral:rRNA from 1 species